AGCAGGGGAGGGAGCCACGUGAUUCCCAUUUACAUUAAUGGACACUGAAUGACUAAAUCUUGGUUCAUAAUAUUAAAUAUUUAUUUCUGAUUGUUCUUUCAGCCUAAACAACUUCAGUAUGUUUGCUGUGAGACUGUUAAUGAGGCAGCAAACUGCUAAGCACAAAUGCACAAUGAAGAGGUGGGAGAAGAGAGAGGAAAUAAAGUUUCCCUGGAUUCUUUCAAUAUUCAAUGAAAUUGAGAGGCAGAGUCAAGAUGGCGGCAUAGAGGCAGCAAAAGUUCAGACCUCUGAAAACCCUUCCUCACCAAUUAAAAACCAAAUGCUUCUAGGGAAUUGA
rnacentral:lncRNA from 1 species